AGCUCAUCAGGUGUACUUGUACAAAGGAGGAGGGUGAGGGCGAGUAUGCUUCGAACCAAUCCAGAUGCAGCUGUUUUGAGAGCUAAUCACAAAGACUACAGCGCAGAACAUACCGCGUAGCUGGCCCAAACUCUCUAUAGCACCUAGAUGGUUAUCACAAGCUCAUAAGAGAGCCAGGGGUUCUUGAUAGGCCAUUCGAGCUCUGUCGGAUGGAUGUCCACCAUAACAUCAUCGUCCUGAAUUUGCCUGGCAUCACACCACGUGACAAAAGAGUGCCUUGAAUUGAAUAGGUCUGCGGUUUAUGUCAGAAUCAAGGGUGAGGACCAACCUCCCGUUACCGUGCACAACCAGCCACCCUCACCUGGAACGCCAAAUCCCCCUCCCUCUACCAUGCCGAGACGUCAGACAACAGCCCCCCCAUAGAAGAAAGACAUGUGUCCCUAUCACUAGGAA